CCUACGGGUGGCAGCAGUGGGGAAUAUUGGGCAAUGGACGCAAGUCUGACCCAGCAACGCCGCGUGAAGGAAGAAGGCUUUCGGGUUGUAAACUUCUUUUAAGGGGGAAGAGCAGAAGACGGUACCUCUUGAAUAAGCCACGGCUAACUACGUGCCAGCAGCCGCGGUAAUACGUAGGUGGCAAGUGUUGUCCGGAUUUACUGGGUGUAAAGGGCGUGCAGCCGGCGAGACAAGUCAGAUGUGAAAGCCACGGGCUCAACCCGUGAACUGCAUUUGAAACUGUUUCCCUUGAGUGUCGGAGAGGUAAGCGGAAUGCCUUGUGUAGCGGUGAAAUGCAUAGAUAUAAGGAAGAACACCGGUGGCGAAGGCAGAUUGCUAGACGAUAACUGACGGUGAGGCGCGAAAGCGUGGGGAGCGAACAGGAUUAGAUACCCGAGUAGUC
rnacentral:rRNA from 1 species